GAUGAAGAACGUAGCGAAAUGCGAUAAGUAAUGUGAAUUGCAGAAUUCAGUGAAUCAUCGAAUCUUUGAACGCACAUUGCGCCCGGCAGUACUCUGCCGGGCAUGCCUGUUCGAGCGUCAUUUCAACCCUCAAGCCCUGCUUGGUGUUGGGGUCCCACGGCCGCCGUGGGCCCUGAAAGGAAGUGGCGGGCUCGCUACAACUCCGAGCGUAGUAAUUCAUUAUCUCGCUUAGGGCGUUGGGCGGCGCUCCUGCCGUUAAAGAACCAUCUUUAACUCAAGGUUGACCUCGGAUCAGGUAGGAAUACCCGCUGAGCUUAAGCAUAUCAAUAAGCGGAGGA
rnacentral:misc_RNA from 1 species